UAAUCUCACUCCAACAUCUUUAUUGAUGUUGGAUGUGGACUUGGAUGUUGUCGUGUUCAACGACUCGUCUUAAAUGCCUGAGUGUACCCUGCUUUUGCAGCGUAUCAGUGUGAUAAACAUCUUCACUGUUAAGUCUUUUGGGACACGCUUGUGUUGUAGGCUCUAUGCUUUCCAACCGUCCUCUGGACAAUCUCUGACA
rnacentral:misc_RNA from 1 species